AGGUAAAUGUACAUUUAAUCUUUCCUACUUUCUUUUAGCCAAAAGGUGGAUUCAGAGCAUAGAGGACUGUAAACCCUGGUGCUACAAUGACAUGCCACCUCAUCACACUGGGACAAAUUGCCCCUUUGCAGCACUUUGGGGAUGAGACCUUCAGAGCACCAUCACAUGACACUUGGCAGGUCCCACCCCAUUGAUGCUUGAAGUGCCAAGAAAGCCUACGCUUGGUGCUGCUAGUCCUGACAUUUCUCUCCCUGUGUGUCAACCCAAGAAACUUCCUGGGACUGCAGACAGAAGCUGGAGACCUGGCAACACAAGUCCACAUAUGUUGGACUACAAAGGCAUUAUCUGCUGGUAUGGCCAAUGGCCAGUGUGACUGAGUAAUAACACGGUAGUCCAACGCAUCUGUAGGAUGCCAGGUUGGGGAAGGAGGGGUAGUGCAGUGGGGCAGACAACGUAACCUGCUGUUAUGUUCCUAAUUCAGAUUCUCUCCAUUAUUUGGCCUAAUGAGUUUAAUGAUUUCCCCAUAUUUCUGACUCUGUUUAAACCUCUUGAUAUGUUUAUAUGAGAGUAAAAUCUCAGACCAUUUUAAAGUUAUUUUUUAAAAAGAUCUUUAUGCCCUGCUUUCAUAUAAUUUAAAAUGGUAAAUGUGUAAUGCAAUACAAUACAAAAACAAUGAAUUAAAAACCAUCAAAAAUAACAAGCCAGUAAUAAAAAGUUUAAAAACAAGAGUAGUAAAAAGACAAUAAAUUUUUAUUACAAAUCAGUAACAAUAAUGCAAACAAUAAACUAUUCUUUAAAGGCUAAAGGCUUUUAAAAACACAGCUUUUACCCUCUUUUUUGAUGUUGUUUUUAUUAAUAUCAUGUAACUUGCCAUUAUUGUUUUUAUGUGAUUUGUUUUCUGUCAAAUGUUCUGUACUGUCUACUUGAAUUGUUUAGUUUAUUGUUGUAUUGAAUGUUUGGCUUUUAUAUUGUGAGCUGCCCUGAGUUCCCAUGGGGAGAUAGGGAGGGAUAGAAAUAAAGUUUUACCUACUUACAAAGUUUUUUUAUAUAGGAAGGUUUUAAUAUUCUGACUCAAGACCCACCAGGAGAGGAUGGGGUAUAGAAAGAGAGAAAGCCAUUCUCUUUGUUUCUAACCAUAAGUUUGGAAAUGGCAAGAGGGCCUUAAUAUGUAGACCAGGGGUCCCCAAACUAAGGCCCUGGGGCUGGAUGUGGCCCUCCGAGUUCAUUUACCUGCCCCCCCGCCCUCAGUUUUAUAAUAUAAUAUAUUGUAUAUACAUAUAAUAUUGAUAAUAAUAUUAUAAUGUAAUACAAUAUAACACUAAUAAUAAU
rnacentral:lncRNA from 11 species